ACAUCCUGUCUCUGUGUGUGGAGCUGGCUGGAAUCUCUCAGCCUCACCUGCCAGACAACACCCCCUCCUUCCUCACCCUGUCUCCUGCAUUCUCCUGAAACCUUCAUCCACACAAUGCCUCCCAACCUCACUGGCUACUACCGCUUUGUCUCGCAGAAGAACAUGGAGGACUACCUGCAAGCCCUAAACAUCAGCUUGGCUGUGCGGAAGAUCGCGCUGCUGCUGAAGCCGGACAAGGAGAUCGAACACCAGGGCAACCACAUGACGGUGAGGACGCUCAGCACCUUCCGAAACUACACUGUGCAGUUUGAUGUGGGAGUGGAGUUUGAGGAGGACCUCAGGAGCGUGGACGGACGAAAAUGCCAGACCAUAGUAACCUGGGAGGAGGAGCACCUGGUGUGUGUGCAGAAAGGGGAGGUCCCCAACCGGGGCUGGAGACACUGGCUGGAGGGAGAGAUGCUGUAUCUGGAACUGACUGCAAGGGAUGCAGUGUGCGAGCAGGUCUUCAGGAAGGUCAGAUAGCCGGAGAGGAGCCAAGAUCCCUCCAGACAGCACCAGCUCACAGACGCUCUUGUUGUGCCCCCUUCAAGCCCAGAUUGUGCCAGGUGCCGGGCACCAGCAGCAGAGGCCACAUCCCAGACCUGGACUCCCCAGCCACCAGCUGCAGUCCUGCUCUUGGUGGGAUGAACGAGAGGCCUCUACAGAUCUCAAGGUGGAGGAGGAGAGGGUCAGAGCCCCCAAAGGUACUCUGGAUUUGGGUAAAUGCACCUGAAAUACAACCAUACCCAGCAAAAAUAACAUCCUGCUAGCUGAUCGUCUGCACUUAUUGUACUAAAAUAAUACAUCUACUUCUAUGAGAACCAGCGUCCGAGACAGCCACCAACAAUACCUGCUUCCCAGUAUUCCUGUCCUUGUGAUGUCUCCUUCCACAUCGGGUUGUCUGUGUGACCAAUGGAAUAAGGCAGAAAUGAUGCUACGUCACUUCCAAGGCUGGCUUAUAAAAGACACUGUCACCUCUGCCUUGUUCUUUCCACCUUGGGUCACUCUGGGGAAAGCCAGCUGCUAUGCCGCGAGGACACUCAAGCGUCCUAUGAGGAGGGCCAUGUGGCAGGGAACUGAGGCCGCCUGCCCACAUCCAUGUGAGUGACCGUCUGGAAGCAGACCUCCAGCCCCAGUCCCGCCUCUGGAGGACUGCAGCCUGCACCUGGACCAAAGCCUUGUGAGAGACCCUGAUCCUAAACUACCCAUCUCAGCCGCUUCUGGAUUCCUGACCCACAGAAACUGUGUGAAAUAGUACAUACUUGCUGUUUUAAACAAAAUGUGGGGGUGACUUUUUACAAGCAGACAGAUAACUGCAACAUAGUCUCAACCUUGAAUUUCAUUGCAAAUGACCCCAUCCUGACCAUAACCUCAAUAUUCGCUAAGUGGGCAGAAGAAUGGGGUUGGGGGGUGGGGGCAGUAGAUGACUUCGGGCAGUAAAAAUGUGUCCAGUCACAAAAAGGCAUGACUCCAUCCUCAGUGCUCACAGCCCUCCCAUCCUAGCUCUAAGCUAGACCCUUCCACGAGUCUAGAGAGUGAAGUUCAGAGGCAGGCAGCUGCCCCCUUUCCCUUCCUCUUUGAGGCCCACCCACCUGAGUCCUGUCUGAGGACUGCCUCUCCCCUAGGUAAUUGUUAAAAGGAAUGUCCAGCAUCUUCAGAUGGUACCCUGCUCGUUUCAAAGUUGUGUGACCUUACUCUGUGGCUUCAAAAGGACAAAGACAUCAGAAUACAACUCAAUGCACCUCACGCCAUUAGACAGCAUGAGUGACAAGCCGCAGGGAGGAUAUAUCAGACAGCACCAGAUCUUAGCUGGUAGGAAGCUGAUUGACAAGUUCUGUGGAGGACAGAGCAGCAGAGCCCUGAAGUCCACAGCAAUAAGGGGAAGAUGGUGUUCUAGACACACCAGCAGGGAAGAGCCAAACCUGGAUGGUCAGUUUGACCUCCCAGGGUAAGGAGCCUCUGGGUCUUCUCUACCUCUCCCAGGACCACCACAGUGAAACUAGAGCCAGAGGGUUCUUUGCUGAAAAGAGGGUGAGUGAGGUGGAGAGAUGCAGAUGAGAGGAGGCUUUAUGCAGAAGCCAUCAGGUUGUGCCAUAUCUAAAGCCUGGAAAAAGGAGGAUACCAGCUGAUAGGAUUUGGCUCUAUGUCCCCAACCAAAUCUCAUGUGGAAUUGUAAUCCCCACGUGUUGGAGGAGGGGCCUGGUGAGAGGUGAUUGGAUCAUGGGGGCAGUUUCUAAUGGUUUAGUGCCAUCCCCCUAGUGCUGUCUCCCGAUGGAAUUCUCAUGAGAUCUGGUUGUUUAAAAGUGUGUAGACUUCUCCCUUCUUCUCUUUCUCCUGCUGCCAUGUGAAGAAGGUCCUUGCUUCCCCUUCGCCUUCUGCCAUGAUUAUAAGCUUCCUGAGGCCUCCCAGUCAUGCUUCCUGUUAAGCCCGCAGAACUGUGAGUCAAUUAAACUUCUUCUCUUCAUGAA